rnacentral:rRNA from 1 species
GACGAACGCUGGCGGCGUGCCUAAUACAUGCAAGUAGAACGCUGAAGAGAGGAGCUUGCUCUUCUUGGAUGAGUUGCGAACGGGUGAGUAACGCGUAGGUAACCUGCCUUGUAGCGGGGGAUAACUAUUGGAAACGAUAGCUAAUACCGCAUGACAAUAGGUGACACAUGUCAUUUAUUUGAAAGGGGCAAUUGCUCCACUACAAGAUGGACCUGCGUUGUAUUAGCUAGUAGGUGAGGUAACGGCUCACCUAGGCGACGAUACAUAGCCGACCUGAGAGGGUGAUCGGCCACACUGGGACUGAGACACGGCCCAGACUCCUACGGGAGGCAGCAGUAGGGAAUCUUCGGCAAUGGGGGCAACCCUGACCGAGCAACGCCGCGUGAGUGAAGAAGGUUUUCGGAUCGUAAAGCUCUGUUGUAAGUCAAGAACGAGUGUGAGAGUGGAAAGUUCACACUGUGACGGUAGCUUACCAGAAAGGGACGGCUAACUACGUGCCAGCAGCCGCGGUAAUACGUAGGUCCCGAGCGUUGUCCGGAUUUAUUGGGCGUAAAGCGAGCGCGGGCGGUUUGAUAAGUCUGAAGUUAAAGGCUGUGGCUCAACCAUAGUUCGCUUUGGAAACUGUCAAACUUGAGUGCAGAAGGGGAGAGUGGAAUUCCAUGUGUAGCGGUGAAAUGCGUAGAUAUAUGGAGGAACACCGGUGGCGAAAGCGGCUCUCUGGUCUGUAACUGACGCUGAGGCUCGAAAGCGUGGGGAGCGAACAGG